rnacentral:pre_miRNA from 2 species
ACAUUAGCCUAGUUACCAGGCAGUGUAGUUAGCUGAUUGCUAAAGGUACAAUCACUAACCACACAGCCAGGUAAAAAGGUAUGUAA